AGCGAACGCUGGCGGCAGGCCUAACACAUGCAAGUCGAACGAACCCUUCGGGGUUAGUGGCGGACGGGUGAGUAACACGUGGGAACGUGCCUUUAGGUUCGGAAUAACUCAGGGAAACUUGUGCUAAUACCGAAUGUGCCCUUCGGGGGAAAGAUUUAUCGCCUUUAGAGCGGCCCGCGUCUGAUUAGCUAGUUAGUGAGGUAAUGGCUCACCAAGGCUACGAUCAGUAGCUGGUCUGAGAGGAUGACCAGCCACAUUGGGACUGAGACACGGCCCAAACUCCUACUGGAGGCAGCAGUGGGGAAUCUUGCGCAAUGGGCGAAAGCCUGACGCAGCCAUGCCGCGUGGAUGAUGAAGGUCUUAGGAUUGUAAAAUCCUUUCACCGGUGAAGAUAAUGACUGUAGCCGGAGAAGAAGCCCCGGCUAACUUCGUGCCAGCCGCCGCCGUAAGAC
rnacentral:rRNA from 1 species